UUAUUAUUUUUUUUUUUUAAACUAGCAAUUAUACAGAUUUAUAAGAUUAUUAAACUUACUUCGCCAGCAAUUCACGCGUUGCCUCAUAGCUGCCAAAGAAGAAAAAGUAGCCGGGCAUUUCGCGCAUAAAAGUCGGCGUGAGACCGCGAAAGAAGCCGGGAAUACCUAACGUAGCGCGCCAAAGCAAACAUUUAUGAUCAUUCUAGUUAAUUUCCAUGGCGUCAUGUGUUCAUUUGCUGGUACUCCAGGACAACACUCGGCUGACUAAAAAUACAUUUAAUAUACUUAAUUUAAUAUUUAGAUUAGAAAAUAAUGGCGAGUGGCGAAUUGCUCGUUGACAUACCUCCCGUAACGCCUGUAAUUUACACUUCACCAACUCCGUCGGACACAGCGCGAAUGUGGAGAAGAAUGCCGCAAAGAAACCGGCGAACGCAUUUUCUGUUGUAUUCAAUUGGUUGGUGUGUUGUUUUCCCACAAGACAUGCGACAAACGACUGACAACCACCAUACGCCGCAAAUAGCACUGAAUUCUCAGCAACAUUGGCUACUACAGCGGGCACGCUGCCCGCAUACAGACCAUGAACGAUGCCGUCCUUUUUGUAGGUAUUCACAAAGCAAUCGAACAUAUUUUUGUAGAGAAAUGGAAAAGUUUGUUGCUUCACCUUGACAGUGUCCAGUGGCUGGGAGACAUAUACUUGCGCCGCACCACCUUGAGGAAAAGGAAAGAAAAAAUGUAUAAAUAAAUUGUCAAUAGAAAUUAAAACCAUUUGAAAAAAAGCAAAGGAGAGCUCAGUAUCCGGACAAUUGACGUGUCAACAACUAAAGGGGUUUCCAAUAAGAGGUGUUAUUGUGAUAUUCAAAGAAUGGUUUCGUUGCUUGUGUGGCACGUAGCGCGUUUGUUAAAAAUAAACGAUUUCUAGAUCAUUACCAUCCAAUUACAGCCAUAAAAAAUCGUUAAUCAUAUCUCGAUAGCGCAAUCCAUUCACCGUAACUGUUGCUCCAGCUUCAUUUUCGAAAAAGUAAGGCCCAUCCGCAAACUGGGCUUUGAGGG